GACGAACGCUGGCGGCGCGCCUAACACAUGCAAGUCGAACGAGCGAGCGAGAGCUUGCUUUCUCAAGCGAGUGGCGAACGGGUGAGUAACGCGUGAGGAACCUGCCUCAAAGAGGGGGACAACAGUUGGAAACGACUGCUAAUACCGCAUAAGCCCACGACCCGGCAUCGGGUAGAGGGAAAAGGAGCAAUCCGCUUUGAGAUGGCCUCGCGUCCGAUUAGCUAGUUGGUGAGGUAACGGCCCACCAAGGCGACGAUCGGUAGCCGGACUGAGAGGUUGAACGGCCACAUUGGGACUGAGACACGGCCCAGACUCCUACGGGAGGCAGCAGUGGGGAAUAUUGCACAAUGGGGGAAACCCUGAUGCAGCGACGCCGCGUGGAGGAAGAAGGUCUUCGGAUUGUAAACUCCUGUUGUUGAGGAAGAUAAUGACGGUACUCAACAAGGAAGUGACGGCUAACUACGU
rnacentral:rRNA from 1 species